rnacentral:rRNA from 1 species
CACGCUGUAAACGAUGGGUACUAGAGUUGGUGGGAGUUGACCCCUGCCGACUCGGAGCUAACGCGAUAAGUACCCCGCCUGGGAAGUACGGUCGCAAGACUAAAACUCAAAGGAAUUGACGGGAGCCCGCACAAGCGGUGGAUUAUGUGGUUUAAUUCGAAGCAACGCGCAGAACCUUACCUAGGUUUGACAUCCUUUGACAAUACCAGAGAUGGUACUUUCGUAGCAAUACGACAAAGAGACAGGUGC